UGGAUUCCUCAGAACAAUCAUUUUCAGAUU
rnacentral:piRNA from 1 species